CAAGUCGAACGAUGAAGCGGUGCUUGCACCGUGGAUUAGUGGCGAACGGGUGAGUAACACGUGAGUAACCUGCCCUUGACUCUGGGAUAAGCCUGGGAAACUGGGUCUAAUACCGGAUAUGACCGCUCCACGCAUGUGGUGGUGGUGGAAAGCUUUUGUGGUUUUGGAUGGACUCGCGGCCUAUCAGCUUGUUGGUGGGGUAAUGGCCUACCAAGGCGACGACGGGUAGCCGGCCUGAGAGGGUGACCGGCCACACUGGGACUGAGACACGGCCCAGACUCCUACGGGAGGCAGCAGUGGGGAAUAUUGCACAAUGGGCGCAAGCCUGAUGCAGCGACGCCGCGUGAGGGAUGACGGCCUUCGGGUUGUAAACCUCUUUCAGUAGGGAAGAAGCUAACGU
rnacentral:rRNA from 1 species